rnacentral:lncRNA from 1 species
GUCCUUUCUCUUCCCUCCCAACGUAUUUUCUAUCCUCUUUGCUAUGGCAGAGGAGUUUUUGGAGCCUUUCUCCAUUUUUAGCAAAGUUUUGACCCUUAUUUCACUUAAUCAGGUAAGGCAGGGCAUUCUCGAGCAAAUUCAUCUCUCCACAUGGGCACAUUUAUUGAAAUUUUCUAUUCUCGCCUACAAAACACACGAAAUCCAUAUGCUUCAGUCGAAUAUCUCCAUUUUUGUUAAUCUGGAUCAAAAGCUCUCUGUAAUGGUUGUAACGUUCAAGAUUCAAUUGAGUCUCGUGACUCAUUUUUUUGAAAAAAUCCCGCCUAAACCAUGAGCCCUAGAUUUGUCUCUCCCCUAUAAACACCAGAGGGUGAUGAUGAUUUUGGGCAUAGGCCUCACGUCCCAAGUAACGUACAGCAAAUCCUGUCCUCAUCUUACAAAUUUUUACUCCUUUCAUUUCUCUGGAAAAUUCGUGUUUGCUUCAAUUCAUCCGAGUUCGAAAUCAUAAAGUUUGAGUGUGUUUCGAGAUCUAAAAUUCUCCUGUUCACUGCCCUGCAUCAAGUGAUUUUUCGGGCCUCUUCUUCAUAUUUUGCGUGAGCCUUGUUGUAUCUCUGUGUUGGACAGAUUGUGAACAUUCUCUAUUCCUUUCUGUGGCUGGAAUUUUGUGUAGUAGGAUUUAGUUUUUCAUGUUAAAAUUUUUAUUUGUUU